CCUACGGGAGGCAGCAGUGAGGAAUAUUGGUCAAUGGGCGCGAGCCUGAACCAGCCAAGUAGCGUGAAGGAUGAAUGCCCUACGGUCUGUAAACUCCUUUUAUAAAGGAAUAAAGUGAGGCACGUGUGCCUCUUUGUAUGUACUUUAUGAAUAAGGAUCGGCUAACUCCGUGCCAGCAGCCCCGGUAAUACGGAGGAUCCGAGCGUUAUCCGGAUUUAUUGGGUUUAAAGGGAGCGUAGAUGGGUUGUUAAGUCAGUUGUGAAAGUUUGCGGCUCAACCGUAAAAUUGCAAUUGAUACUGGCAGCCUUGAGUGCAGUUGAGGUAGGCGGAAUUCGUGGUGUAGCGGUGAAAUGCUUAGAUAUCACGAAGAACUCCGAUGGCGAAGGCAGCCUACUAGACUGCCACUGACAUUGAGGCUCGAAAGUGUGGGUAGCAAACAGGAUUAGAUACCCGUGUAGUC
rnacentral:rRNA from 1 species